AUUGAACGCUGGCGGCAGUCCUAACACAUGCACGUCUAGCGAGCGGCGGACGGGUGAGUAAUGUAUGGGGACUGCCCGAUAGAGGGGGAUAACUACUGGACACGGUGGCUAAUACCGCAUACUAUCGGAUAACCCAUAUGGGAUUAGCUAGUAGGUGGGGGAAAGGCUCACCUAGGCGACGCUCGCUAGCUGGUCUGAGAGGAUGAUCAGACACACUGGGAUGGAGACACGGCCCAGACUCGUACGGAGGCAGCAGUGGGGAAUAUUGGACAAUGGGCGCAAGCCUGAUGCAGCCAUGCCGCGUGUAUGAAGAAGGCCUGAGGGUUGUAAAGUACGUUCAGCGGGGAGGCGUUACCCGCAGAAGAAGCACCGGCUAACUCCGUGCCAGCAGCCGCGGUAAUAC
rnacentral:rRNA from 1 species